UCAGAGGAAGGCAGGGUAGCUUUGCACCUUACAGACUAACCAAAGUAGACAUAUUGGUUAAUCUAUAGGUGCAAAUCGACCUUGCCUUCUAUUUGACA
rnacentral:pre_miRNA from 1 species